AAUAAUUUGGCAGACAAAUGCGUUUGAUUUAGGGUCAAAGAAUAACGAAUGUUAAUUAUUA
rnacentral:tRNA from 1 species